UGCAGUCGAACGCGCAGCGAAAGGUGCUUGCACCUUUCAAGCGAGUGGCGAACGGGUGAGUAACACGUGGAUAACCUGCCUCAAGGCUGGGGAUAACAUUUGGAAACAGAUGCUAAUACCGAAUAAAACUUAGUAUCGCAUGAUACAAAGUUGAAAGGCGCUACGGCGUCACCUAGAGAUGGGUCCGCGGUGCAUUAGUUAGUUGGUGGGGUAAAGGCCUACCAAGACAAUGAUGCAUAGCCGAGUUGAGAGACUGAUCGGCCACAUUGGGACUGAGACACGGCCCAAACUCCUACGGGAGGCUGCAGUAGGGAAUCUUCCACAAUGGGCGAAAGCCUGAUGGAGCAACGCCGCGUGUGUGAUGAAGGCUUUCGGGUCGUAAAGCACUGUUGUAUGGGAAGAAAUGCUAGAAUAGGGAAUGAUUCUAGUUCGACGGUACCAUACCAGAAAGGGACGGCUAA
rnacentral:rRNA from 1 species